rnacentral:pre_miRNA from 1 species
UUAAACAGCCUCCUUUGCUUUAACAUGGAGGUACCUGCUGCCUAAAAAAAGUAAGUGCUUCCAUGUUUCAGUGGUGGUGGUAGUUCCU